UACAGAGGUCCCAAGCGUUGUUCGGAUUCACUGGGCGUAAAGGGUGCGUAGGCGGGUCUUUAAGUCAGGGGUGAAAUCCUGGAGCUCAACUCCAGAACUGCCUUUGAUACUGAGGAUCUUGAGUUCGGGAGAGGUGAGUGGAACUGCGAGUGUAGAGGUGAAAUUCGUAGAUAUUUGCAAGAACACCAGUGGCGAAGGCGGCUCACUGGCCCGUAACUGACGCUGAGGCACGAAAGCGUGGGGAGCAAACAGG
rnacentral:rRNA from 1 species